GAUUUCUGGUUUGGCGCGCCUGGUCCGCCUCUACAUGAGUGUGAGUGCCGGUGCGCGCCUGCCAUCCUUCUAGAGAACGUGUUCGGGCGUUCAUUCGUUCGGGCACGGGAUCUAGAUCUAUUACUUUGAAAAAAUUAGAGUGUUUAAAGCAGGCAUUUGCUAUGAAUACAUUAGCAUGGAAUAAUAAUUUAGGACUUUGGUUCUAUUUUGUUGGUUUUCAGGACUGAAGUAAUGAUUGAUAGGGAUAGUUGGGGGUGCUAGUAUUCAGUGGCCAGAGGUGAAAUUCUUGGAUUCACUGAAGACUAACUUAUGCGAAAGCAUU
rnacentral:rRNA from 1 species